rnacentral:lncRNA from 10 species
GGCAGAAUGAGGAACAGGAUGUUUCUUACAGACUCAUGAGGCCGCAGCACAGAAACUGCAAGAAAUAUUUGAGGGCAUUUUUUUAAGCUCUCCACAUGUGGUUUACUGUGGACCAAACACUGGCAGCUUCAGGCUUACAAUCUGCUGACAAAUCCUUCUUAGUUCGUUCACUUUGAAGAAUGUGAGCAUGCACUGCUCAUGUGCGUGGCAAGCAUGCAACCUGAUCAGGAGAAGGACAGUGGCCACUCACGUCAUCAGGUGAACUUGUGACGAGGCCAUCAAGAGGCUGCACAUGUGCUCCAGAAAAUGAAAUUCCCACUAUCAACCUAUUUUCCAUUUCCACCCAAUGGCCCACCCCUGCUCCAAAGCCGUGUCUCCACCUCUUAGGAAUGCUUGAUUUUCAGUAUUGCUGAACAGGGGUCAAAGAAAACAAACUGAACAAAGAAACAAAUAAAGCCUUUAACCCGGGAGCAAAGACACAGCACCUCCCCACUCCGCAACAGCUCCAGAGCUGCACAGCUGCUGCCAGAGCCUGAGCACAGGCCUGAACUCUGGCCCAUGGAUCUCACCAAUGCAUUUCUUCCCUCUGUGCCAAAAAAAGUAUCGAUAAAUGGGAUUCAUUUACUUGGGACGUAAAAUAAUGUAUACCUAUAGUUUUCUCCCAGAACUGUGUAAACCGGCAUGCUGUCUGCCACAAUACAGUCCUCACCCUGCAUCAGGAGCUCAGAUGGGGGAAGCCAGCAGGGCUGGAUGCCUGAGAGUCACAGGUGCUUGGAGGGGAGAGAAAAGCACCACGGAGAGCCAGGCCCUGCCUACAAGUCACAUUUCUAGGGGUCUAAUGGUCUGGGCAGGCUGGGAGAUGCUCUCUAAAGGAAAGGCAAGAAAUAUUGCCCCACGUCUCCCACCACCAAACAGAAAGUGCAGGUGGUCAGCCCCAGGGCUCACCUGCCCUUUGCCAGGGUCAUGAGUCAGGCCCAGGCUGCGCCCUCCACACAAUCCUCAAGGAGAGUUCCUGCCAGGCUGGGACAACUGCACUGGGACCUGAUGCCCUGGGAAGGACAGGGUUGCAUUUAACAGAAACAGCUAAACCUGAAGGGAUGAGUUUGCCUUUCCCCGGGGCCAUGGGAUGGUUUAUAGAAAGUUCUACCCAUCAGGACAAGACCUCACAUGACACCAUCAGAGGAACUGAUUUCACGCCACAGAGGGAGGAAGAGGGCACAUGCCAUAGGUCCACUGGUCACAGCACACACAUGCUCCUGGGAGCUUCAGACCCAGCAGUGUGGCACAGGUGCCAGGUCAGGAUGUGGGAGGACACAGUGUCUGCAUGAAUCUGUCACCUUUGUUAGCUGCCUUGUCCCACCAGGUAGAAGAUGUGGCAAUUGGAGCACAGCAGUAGGAAGCCCAGUGUCCCCCAACCUUCCACAUCAUACCCAGGACCUCUGAGGUGCAUCUAUAUCCUGCACAUCUAGGCUCUGAAAAGCAGGAGGUCCUGGUUUCCACAGCUGUGGGGCUUCUAGCCAGGGCAGGGCCAGGUUCUCUGAAAAAAACAAGCUCUGGGUGCUGCUUUGUCCUCAGGCUGCUCCUCCAUGGGACCUGCGGGCAGAAAAAUGGGUACCACCUGGACCAUGGUGUCAGCAGGAGCAGGGCUGCGCUGCCUGGGGAAGAAAGGGCUCCACGCAAGUACCUCCUGGUACACAGCACUUGAUGGCAUGUGGACAAGUGCGGGAGCCCUAGACCAAGGACUCUGUGGUGGGCAAGGCUGAGGGCCCCUUAGGGGUGAGGGCCUGGGUUACACCACCAGGGGGUCACCAGGACCCUCAGCAGAAGGUGGAGGGGGUGGUGAUCAUUACCUGUGCAACCCUGAGAUGGGUGGCAGCCACAGAACCUAGGGUUCAUUGAACCCCCCUUUUGUAACUAGUGCCCAGGAAAAGGCCUAGAAUUUAAUAAAGACAAGGCCCCUGUCAGUGGAGUGCUGGAUGGGGCGCACCCCCUGGGGCACACCUGAACCUCCCCCAGGGCCUUGGCUGUGAGCUUUGAUUGUAGACACACCUAUGCCACGGCCCCUUCAGACUGCUCCCUUCACCUCUGAAAAACCAAACAGGAUGCUUCUGUUCCUGGAAACGUGAAUGCCCUUCGUGUGUUUUUUACUUUGACUAGAAACUCAUCUGCAGCUGAAAUAUAUGCAGAGACCUCGUGUGCUCCCAAGAUUUCCAGGCAUCUCUGAGAGUUUGCUUUUCAGUUCCCAGAAGGUGUGAGAGCUCCAAAGCAUGUGCUGCUGGUUUCUCAACUUAGUGUAUUUUAGCUCCCUGUGGACAGCAUGUUUCUAGCCCCCUUGCACACGCUUGGAUCGGAUUUUUGAAAAAGCCAAGGGUGGGAGGCAGAAUGAUGUGGAAUGGGCAGAAACUAUGACUAAAGGCUGGCCUCAUCCCAGGAGGAGAUAGAAUGCAUUAGCCCAGUGACAGUGCCAGGGAACCCAUGCGGCAGCCUAGGGAAGGUCAUGGAAUGGAGCUGGGGUUUCGGCUGUCACCAUCCCAGGGUUAGACUCAGCCAGGUGAACAGCUGAUUCUCCUCCACAGAACCCUUGGGCUGGCACAAAACAUGCAAUUCACAGUGAGAGAAAGACCAUUCCUGUCCACCCCUUGUAGCCUCCACACACCUGAGCCCAUACCUGACAUAUCCCAGAACAAGACUCCACAGCCAUGCAUCUGUUCUCUCCAGGGCAUUUCAUGAUGAGAGAGGGAUUUACUUAAUAUGAUGAAAAUAGAAGAGGAAAUGACCUUGACAAGUACAUAGUUCCACACCCGCCAUCCAGGGCCUAGGAAUAGUGCUCAGCCAGGGCCCGGCCCUUCUAGGGCUCUGGGAAGCUGCAGUGAAGGUGGGGUUGGGACAAGCAAGAGUGGCCAUUUGCAGGCAGUGUGGGCACCAGGCCAUCUGCAGGGGAAAAGCCCAGUGGGAGGAUGAGACGACAGCAGAAACCUCGCAGGGGCUAUGCACCCCCUCCCCGUGGGAAGGGGAUACCCUCCCAGGUGGAGCCACUGUUUACAUUGAAAUCACUCAAGUCCAUCACCAGGAAACACAAAGAGGACUGUCUUGCCAGAGAUUAGUGAUCUGGGACUUAAACAAAAUGCCAGUCAGCAAAUGAGAGGAUUCUUAGUUCCACAGGCCUCAUGUCUAUAGUUGCAGUAAGCAAGACUGAACUCAGCCAUGCUCACCUGCAGACACUGAGAUGCUUGCUAGGAGGCUGUGGGGUGGAAUACAAGACACGAGGGCUGACAAGGAUGGGAAGAGCAUCCCUUUCCUGGCUAGGGGCCUUGGCCAAUUCAAAAAUAGAUAACAUGGGGUCUCAGAGCUCCUGAGGCAAGAGCUACGUAGGCAUUCAGAGAUACCUGGAUGAUGGCAUUGUCUUCAGUAGAACCUUGAAAAAGCACCAGGGACUCCCAGGCAACUUAGCUUAAAUCUGUCUUGAGUAGAGCUGGUCUUUGGGAUCUCCAUCAAGUGGGUGAUGCCUUUACCACCAUGAUAGCACAUUAUAAAGUUGGCCUUGCUAGCAGCAGGGACAGGCCUGAUGUCACUGAUCCUGAGGCAAGCAUCUUAUAAACCCAUAUAAUUUAAUUUUGCAAAGGCUCAAGCUCAUCACUGAGAUCAUCCUUUGUAUGAUGAUCCAUGAGGCCACCGUGAACAGCAUGGAUGGACCCAGGCCAUGGAGGGGCCCUCUUCAUCCUGGAUGAGGAGCCCACAGUGGCCAUUGCCCCUCAGUCAGAAUAAAAUCAAGACAAAAGCAAUCAGAAGACCCAUACACCAUGAGGCUGAGCCAUUUUUCAAAGAUGUCAAAAUAGGAAAAUACUAAAAUGGAAGAAAACCCAGAAUCCCAUCCCCUGACUUGCUCCAGAGGCCUCCCCAACUCCAGGCCACCAGGAGCAGGGGCCCUGCAGAGGAACUCUCCCUGGGUAGAAAUUCGCUGGUUUUUGCCUUCCACCAGAUGUUGGCAACUUCAAUUUCAUCUUUUUUGGCAUUAGAGCUAAUGUUAAAAUGACUCAGGUCAAAAAAGAGUGAUGUGCUGCAGCCCUGACAAUGCUCCCAGUGAGAAUUUGUGCAAAACUCUUCCCUGGAUCUACAAAACCAGGUCCAGGCAGGGUGUUGGGGCUGUGACGACUGCAUCUCUGCCUCCUCCUCUCUGCAGUGCGGCCUCUUCACAGGCAGAGCAUUCAUUCCUCUUUAGCUUCUCACCAGCCCAGGAUGCAGGGAAGAAGUAGCUUAUCAGCACAGUCUUGGAAUAUUUUUACCUUACCAGCUGGGCUCCUAUGAACAAUGUGUCCAGCUAUAGGUAAACAAUGUGUGCAAAUAAUGUGAGAGUGACAGCACCAUGUCAGAACCAUGCAAGAAGCUGGCCAGAGGCACAAGCAGCAGAUGGGAUGCUGAUGGGGGUGACCAAAAUACAGUAUGGGGCAGCUGCGUGCCAUGAUCAAUCUGCAGGGGUAGGGAAAAAAAUAACUCUCGGCCUGGCUAACAUUUGCAUGUGAGAACAUUGACCCAAGUCCCCAGGAGAACGUUGAAGAGAACCGCGGCUUAUUGUCAAAGGGAAAAGUAACCGCAGAGUUUUCUUUCUGCUUCUAAGCAGAUGGGAGGGGUGUAGCCUGCAGAACCAAGGGUGUGGGGGUCCUAGAAUGUUGUUGGUGGUUGUUCAGCAAAGGGCUUCACUUCUCGGCCUGCAGAACUUUCCGCCCGUGAGUGUGGGUUACAUCUAUACAUACACAGGAAAUCAUAUACUCCCACUCAGCCACCCACAUCUAAACAUGGUAGUAUUAGGAAAAAUAGGAAAGCAACAUCCUACUAGAUUACAUUGUUUACAGUGAAACCAUUUAAACCCCUGACCCUCUGUGUCACCAAUUAACACUGCGUGUAAGGAGAAUGCCUGCCCCGUGGGGGUUUGUAAAGACAAAAUGUAAAAAUAAAAUGUAGGCUGGGUGCGAUGGCUCACGCCUGUAAUCCCAGCACUUUGGGAGGCCGAGGAGCACGGAUCACGAGAUCAGGAGAUCGAGACCAUCUUGGCUAACAUGGUGAAACCCUGUCUCUACUAAAAAAAUAAAUAAAUAAAUAAAUAAUAAAUUAUAAAAUAAAAUGUAGUGUGCUUGGUAAACUAAAGUUCUAAAUAAAUAUUAGUUGUUACUAUUACUAUGUCAGAAGUACUAGUCACAAGACUGGAAUACUUCACUUGAAUAAGAACUCAGUGCAAAGAAGUUGGACAAAUCGGUGAGUUUGAAACUGCAACAGGACUAAAAAUAUGCCAAUUAAUUUAUUAAUGUAUUCAUAUUUAUUAACUUAUUUAUAUUCAAAUGAAUUAAAUAUUUAGUGCAUGCUUGGACCUGGGAACACACAGCCAUCAGUGCCACACGAACUCUGUCCUCACUGCAGUUGUUUUCAGAUGACCUCAGAGGAAAAUAAGAGGGAAACCACUGGCAAUUUCCUUCCGUUGAUACCUUAGCUGACUACAUAGCUCAUGUUAG